rnacentral:snRNA from 13 species
AGCUUUGCGCAGUGGCAGUAUCGUAGCCAAUGAGGUCUAUCGGAGGCGCGAUUAUUGCUAAUAGAAACAGGAAAAUAUUUUUAAC